rnacentral:rRNA from 1 species
AGAGUUUGAUCUUGGCUCAGGAUGAACGCUAGCUACAGGCUUAACACAUGCAAGUCGAGGGGCAGCGGGAAGGUAUGCUUACUUUCUUCAGAUAGCGACCCACGGGUGAGUAACACAUAUGGAACCUGCCCGCCUCAUGGGGAGAAACAGAAUAAAUUCCGACAAAUACCGACCCAAAGCUCCAAGAGGACUCUCCGGUGGUAUAAAUGGAAACACCCGGUACGGAAGGGCGAGCCGCGCAUUAGUUAGUUGGCGGGGUAACGGCCCACCAAGGCGACGAUGCGUAGGGGUUCUGAGAGGAAGGUCCCCCACAUUGGUACUGAGACACGGUCCAGACUCCUACGGGAGGCAGCAGUGAGGAAUAUUGGUCAAUGGGCGCGAGCCUGAACCAGCCAAGUAGCGUGAGGGAAGACGGUCCUAUGGAUUGUAAACUUCUUUUGUAGGGGAGCAAAAGUUGCCACGCGGGGAGUUCGUAGAGUCCAUGAAGAAAAAGCUUGGGUUAAUUCGGUCCCACCAGCCGGGGUAAUACGGGGGUUGCGAGGGUUUUCGGGAUUUAUGGGGUUUAAAGGGGGGGCAGGGGGAAGAUCAAUUCAGCGGUAAAAUUGAGAGGUUCACCGUAUUAGAGCAGUUGAAACUGGCUUUCUUGAGUGCGGGAGAAGUAGGCGGAAUUCGUGGUGUAGCGGUGAAAUGCAUAGAUAUCACGCAGAACUCCGAUUGCGAAGGCAGCAUACCGGCGCUCAACUGACGCUCAUGCACGAAAGUGUGGGUAUCGAACAGGAUUAGAUACCCUGGUAGUCCACACAGUAAACGAUGAAUACUAAUUGUUCGGGGAGAAUGAUCCCUGAGUGAUACAGCGAAAGCGUUAAGUAUUCCACCUGGGGAGUACGCCGGCAACGGUGAAACUCAAAGGAAUUGACGGGGGCCCGCACAAGCGGAGGAACAUGUGGUUUAAUUCGAUGAUACGCGAGGAACCUUACCCGGGCUCAAACGACACAGGAAUACUUUUGAAAGGAAGUAGCUCUACGGAGCCUGUGUCGAGGUGCUGCAUGGUUGUCGUCAGCUCGUGCCGUGAGGUGUCGGCUUAAGUGCCAUAACGAGCGCAACCCCCAUCGCCAGUUACCAGCAAGUCAAGUUGGGGACUCUGGCGAGACUGCCGGCGCAAGCUGUGAGGAAGGCGGGGAUGACGUCAAAUCAGCACGGCCCUUACGUCCGGGGCGACACACGUGUUACAAUGGCAGGUACAGAGAGAAGCAAUGCGGCGACGCAAAGCGGAACUUGAAAGCCUGUCUCAGUUCGGAUUGGAGUCUGCAACUCGACUCCAUGAAGCUGGAUUCGCUAGUAAUCGCGCAUCAGCCAUGGCGCGGUGAAUACGUUCCCGGGCCUUGCACACACCGCCCGUCA